GUGGAAAAGGCAUUGUUACCGAUUGAUUGAGCUUGGUUCGAGGGAAGAUCGGAGCUGAAGAUGCGAGUACGAGUAAAACUCCAAGCAAUGGAACAGUAAUUCCAAAGGCAACCAUGGAACAGAGUAACAAAGCAUAAGGAAAUGAGAAGAGCAUGCAGGAGAAGCAAAUGUAGGGAGCUGGGGAAAGAUCAUGGGCUGGAUUAUUUAGUGAGAAUAAACUUGUAGCUAAAGGAAUGAAUCUAUCAUAUAUCUCACAAGUGAUACAAUAUGGUAAAAUGGUGGUGCAAUUGCUGGAAGAUGACAUAGCGGAGUAACAACAAAAAUGGAAUAGAGCCUUAAUUCUAUAUGUAGUAGGAAACAUCCUAACAAUUGGAGCAAUUGAGCGUUUCAUAGCUCAACAAUGGGGAAAAAUCAGGAAGCCAAAGGUAUUGUUUCA